GUGGUUUUGGCGAAGGGGAAACACCCGGUCCCAUUCCGAACCCGGUAGUUAAGCUCUUCAGCGCCGAUGGUACUGCAUGGGUGACUGUGUGGGAGAGUAGGACGCCGCCG
rnacentral:rRNA from 1 species